rnacentral:rRNA from 1 species
AGCAAGCCGCGGUAAUUCCAGCUCCAAUAGCGUAUAUUAAAGUUGUUGCAGUUAAAAAGCUCGUAGUUGAAUUUCGGGGUUAGUAGGUUGGUCAUGCCUCUGGUAUGUACUGGUCUCACUGAUUCCUCCUUCCUUAUGAACCGUAAUGCCAUUAAUUUGGUGUUGCGGGGAAUUUGGACUGUUACUUUGAAAAAAUUAGAGUGUUUAAAGCAGGCUAACGCUUGAAUACAUUAGCAUGGAAUAAUGAAAUAGGACGUUCGAUCUUAUUUUGUUGGUUUCUAGGAUUGACGUAAUGAUUAAUAGGGAUAGUUGGGGGCAUUAGUAUUCAAUUGUCAGAGGUGAAAUUCUUGGAUUUAUUGAAGACUAACUACUGCGAAAGCAUUUGCCAAGGAUGUUUUCAUUAAUCAAGAACGAAAGUUAGGGGAUCGAAGACGAUCAGAUACCGUCGUAGUCUUAACCAUAAACUAUGCCGACUAGGGAUCGGAUGAUGUUAAUUUUUUAAUGACUCA